GGGAAACGGGAUGAGGGGCCUGCCCCAGGCCCCGAAAGAAGCAUAUGGGGCA
rfam:Papio anubis isolate 1X1155 chromosome 8, whole genome shotgun sequence.